rnacentral:rRNA from 1 species
CUACGGGACGCUGCAGUGAGGAAUUUUGCGCAAUGGGGGAAACCCUGACGCAGCAACGCCGCGUGAGUGAAGAAGGCCUUCGGGUCGUAAAUCUCUGUCAAGUGGGAAAAAAGUCUCUUGAUCAAUAGUCAAAAGAUUUGAUGGUACUACUAGAGGAAGCACCGGCUAACUCCGUGCCAGCAGCCGCGGUAAUACGGAGGGUGCGAGCGGUGUUCGGAGAUUACUGGGCGUAAAGAGCGUGUAGGCGGUAUAGUAAGUCAGAUGUGAAAGCCCUGGGCUUAACCCAGGAAGUGCAUUUGAUACUGCGAAGCUUGAGUAUGGGAGAGGAGAGUGGAAUUCCCAGUGUAGAGGUGAAAUGCGUAGAUAUUGGGAGGAACACCCGUGGCGAAGGCGACUCUCUGGACCAAUACUGACGCUGAGACGCGAAAGCGUGGGGAGCAAACAGGAUUAGAUACCCGCGUAGUC